UUCUUCUCUCCAUCCAUCGUCAGAGCCGAAACCUUAAAAAAUAUGUAAUUCUCUUCAUGCUGUCCCGUAAUUACCAGAUAAUGAAAGUUGUAGUCAAAGGAGAUUAUAUUAAAAAAAGACUGCAAAAUUGUACUGCAUCAAAAUGGUUUAUUACUGAUCGAUCGUCUCUCGAUCUGAAUUUCGUUUUCACUCCUGAAAUCCAAGAACUUGUCAGGCUUGUCCUGCAGCUUCAGUUUUUGACUUGUCAAAAUUACAAGAUAAGUGCAAGUAUUAAUCACACUGACUUGCUGGCUAGUGGCUACACUCUUGAGCUGGUAGUACAGUAUCUACUAAUAAUUGGCAGCUAGGUUACUGUAGCUGUCGUAGAUUGGCUCAAGCUAGCUGCGGCCAUGG
rnacentral:lncRNA from 1 species